GGUUUGGCACAAGACUUCCAGAGCAGGACAUGUAACCCACAAAAUUUAGCCAGUGUCCAGGCUUUGCUCCUUGUGAGAUUUAACGAAGAUGAUGGUCUUAAAAUCGUUUUACCACAAGAAAGCUUCCCCUACAAGGAACAUACCUGUUGUCUUCCCCCCUGAGGCCUCACACUGCCAGUCUGAGGAGUAAAAUGAUAGAUCCAGAGGGUUUACCACAGAUCAUGGGGAGACAAUACAGAUUUUUUAAGAGAGGUGCUUUUGAGACCCACGGAUCAUAAAGACAUUCUCACCUGAUGAAAGGUCUUGAGAUGGCCAGGACGGUCCGGAUGAACCAUGUUGGCAUCUCUUCAGCCAGCCGAUGCCGGGCAUCUUCCUGCGAGGAGUUGCUCCGUUCAGGUAAACAAUCAUGUAAUCUUCUGCCACCAGAAGCUCCAGGCUGCUCACAACGUACCUGGCAGACAGAACGACCAAGCUCAGAUCUGACUCAGACUGUAAAGCAACAUAUAUGAGGAUGAUAUGUGCUUCACAAAGUAAAAUUCUUGAGGCCAAAAUGAUUGUUGUUAGACUGAUUCAUCUUUCAUUCCUAGUAAUUACUGUUCAGGAUCAUUUAGAACAUGACUGGACAUGCAUAUCCCAUAGAAACUUGUUUUCCCAGUCAUUUCCUUUGAUGAGUCACACAGUGAAAAAAGGGAAAAAAAGCGGAAGAAUAAUCGCACGAAAAGGCUCAUAAUAAAGCAUGCUGCUGUAAAAGAGUCCCUUAAGAGACCAGGACGGAUCUCACAGGAAGAGGUUCUCCAUGAUGUAUGUGUAGUCCUCACAGCUGCUGUCAGGAAGAUAGCAGGCUGCAAACACGAUGAUGGCAUUC